UUUCACUAAGCUUUUUCAUCAUGGAUAUCCAUGGGCUCAAUAUUAGAUAACAUUUUGAAUAUUCUUUGUCCUCUUGGCUUUUGAUUAAGAUGUUGAAUAGAUCCUAUUCAAGAAAUGGAGUGCCAUACAGAUUUGUAAACCAUCUCUGAGUAGUAAAUAUGAAGAGCAGAAAUAGCGACUUGAAACAAGGCAACACAUGUCAAGGCAAAGUAUAUUCUCAAUAGAACAUCCUACUUGAAGCACAAAUAUUUCCAAACUAUGAAACAACAGAUAUUGCCUUACAAUUCAAGAUAUAAAGUAUUGAUUACUAAUCAACUACUAGCCUGGGAGUUAGAAAAGCGAAAGCUGUAAACAGACAGGCCAGGUAAAUAUGAAUGAAGAAAUUGAAACUAGAAGUAAACAUCAUGGGAAGUCUAAUUAUAGGGCAAGUAUUUUUCCUUCAUAUCUUAUUUAACAUAGACAAACUAUGUAAUACUUGUAGGCUUAACUAUUGUUUUCAUAGAAACAAUGUUAUUUUAAAUAUCAUGAGAUAGUGUAUUUAAGAGAUAAUCUAGUGUUCAAGUUUCCAUAUUUCAUCAGCUUGACAAGCACACAUUCUCUGCUGCCAACAGUACCAAUUUGUCAUCCAACCAACAAAUAUUCCUUGGUAAUCUGCUAUCAGAUGAUGACAGUUUUCUCUUGGAAUUUCUUAUGAAUUAAAGCUUUGAAGGCCAAACUUCAGAUUUGGUUAGCAUAACCCUGAACUGCAUAUGCAUAUCAACAAAUUUUUGAUGGUCUGUUUGGUUCAUCUCUCUCACUAUGAAGAUGGCUACACAGUAUCAGCUAUCAGCAGUGCACCUCUGUGAUAUACAAUGUCUUCAUUGCCAAACUGUGACCCACUUUACUGUAAUUUAAUGUCAGGAGAGUCUGGAUAUGUCAGCCCAAGGAGAUCAAGUUUGUGUCCAAGGUAAUUCUCUAAGAACAAUAGACUAAAUGGUCAAUUAAACAUUGAGGUCAAGGAAAAAGGAUGAACAUUUCAAGGCUACAGGAGGAACAUUAAACUUCUCUCUCACUGUGAAAAGAUUCUAUCGAUCUACAAAUGGUCAACAUGUUUUAUCUAAAGUUCAUCUGCUGUUUCUUCAAAUGGAGCCAUAGUCAG
rnacentral:sRNA from 1 species